AAAAAAAAUGACGUAGAGGCGCACACACACACCUCCAACUUGGAAGGACACCAGCCGGCCGAGGAGGCACCUCCGCACCAAGGACAGGCCGAGCACACUGGCUCCUCCGGCCGCAGAGGAGGGCGCAAACUCUCGGUCCGACAGGUCGUGAGAUCCACAUCCGAGGCUGAAGCUUCCAGACCGGCAGGACUCAUUGUUUUCUUACCGAGCAGACCAGCUUGGACAAAGCCCUACUGAGACAGACAGAGAGAGCUGAUUUUGACUCAAACAAGACUUUUCAACAUGUCGAACAUCAACAUAGACAACGGUUCUGCAAACUCUGCAGAAUCCAAGAAAGCAGACCUGAGAAUGAAUGAGAAGAAAUGCUCAUGGGCCUCCUAUAUGACAAAUUCUCCAACGGUGAUCGUAAUGAUCGGCCUGCCUGCGAGAGGGAAGACCUACAUGUCAAAGAAACUCACACGUUACCUCAACUGGAUCGGAGUCCCAACCAAAGUGUUUAACUUGGGCGUGUACCGCAGAGAGGCUGUCAGAGCUUAUAAAUCCUAUGAUUUCUUCCGCCAUGACAAUGAAGAAGCCAUGAAAAUAAGGAAGCAGUGUGCUCUGGUAGCUCUGCAGGAUGUGAAGGCGUACCUGUCGGCGGAGGGAGGUCAGAUCGCGGUGUUUGACGCAACAAACACAACAAGAGAACGGCGAGACCUCAUUCUAGCUUUUGUGAAGGAGAAUUCAUUCAAGGUGUUCUUCGUGGAGUCGGUGUGUGACGACCCAGAGGUCAUUGCUGCUAAUAUUCUGGAAGUGAAAGUGUCCAGUCCAGACUACCCUGAGAGACACAGAGAGAGAGUCAUGGGAGAUUUCCUCAAACGAAUUGAGUGCUACAAGGUCACUUACCAACCGUUAGAUCCUGAUGAUUACGACAAGGACCUAUCGUUCAUCAAGGUGAUGAACGUGGGCCGGCGUUUCCUGGUGAACCGGGUGCAGGACUACAUCCAGAGCAAGAUUGUCUACUAUCUCAUGAACAUCCACGUGCACUCUCACUCUCUCUACCUGUGUCGGCACGGAGAGAGCGACCACAACGUUGAAGGCCGCAUCGGAGGAGACUCUGAGCUUUCUCCUGGAGGGAAACAGUUCGCCCAUGCCCUGCGGGAUUUCAUUGAGGAGCACAAAAUGGCAGAUCUGAAAGUGUGGACGAGCCAACUGAGAAGAACCAUCCAGACAGCGGAGGAGCUGGGAGUCCCUUAUGAACAGUGGAAGAUACUCAACGAGAUUGAUGCUGGUGUGUGUGAGGAGAUGACUUACGAGAUGAUCGAGAACACGUUCCCAGAGGAGUUUGCUUUGAGGGACCAGGAUAAGUACCACUAUCGCUACCCAGGAGGAGAGUCCUACCAAGACCUUGUCCAACGUUUGGAGCCGGUUAUCAUGGAGUUGGAGAGGCAGGGCAACGUGCUGGUCAUCUGCCACCAGGCUGUGAUGCGUUGUCUGCUAGCUUACUUCCUGGACAAGAGUGCAGAAGAUCUACCAUACAUGAAAUGUCCGCUCCACACAGUACUCAAGUUAACCCCUGUUGCAUAUGGUUGUAAAGUGGAAAUGUUUUAUCUUAACGUGGAGGCAGUGAACACACAUCGAGACCGGCCUCUCGAUAAAAACCCGAGGGACUCUUCUCUCAUACAUCGGCGGAAUAGUUACACGCCCUUGUCCAGUCACGACCAGGUCAAGCGUCCCAGGCUCUACAGCGCGGGCAACCAGCCCUGGCUGCCGCUCGCCCCCACCCCAUCAGCUCUGAUGCCAGAGGGACGGCAAAGCCAAGUUAGUGCCAGAGUUACAGGCUCCCCCUCUAAAUCAGUCACAGUCAACUUUAAUCAGUCACCCCCCACCACAGUUGUAACCCUGUGUUUGGCAUUACCUCGGCUCAGUUGUGUAUCCUCUCGAUGAUCUUAGUGUCUGUGUCAAGAAAUUACGUACAUCAUGGAAUCCAUCUCUCUAUCUAUCUUUCUCUCUCAGGGCAUGUUUGGAUCUUGAAUGGGUUGCUCUCUUCUUUCUACGUUGUCUGUUUCCAAAGUCAGAUGUUUGUCUUGCUUGACCUCUGCUUCCCCACUGGGCUGUCUCCGGCUUGAAUAUGCAGAACGGCAUGUCUACUUCUUUGAGUUAACUUUAUGGGAUACAAAAGACACAGAAACAUCAAAGACAUCUUGUACUGUAUUUUGUUACAAGUGAUAAUGUACACAUUAUUAGCUAUACAUAACCUCCAUAAAUCUACAGUGAUGAUUCCAUUUUUUUUUUUUUUAAACUGAAAUCCAUUUGGGAAUAAUUUGAGAGCAAUUUGAGAAAAUUCACAUAAUACACAAAUGACAGAUUUCAAACUUUCAAAAAUGCAUAUUCAUAUUCGUACGUGUUGUGUAUUUGUUGGCCUUGCCUUGUGGAUACAGUGCUUCAGCCCCUCUCCACAUCUCUAUAUCUCUCUCUCUCUUUCUCCACUUCCUCUAAACCUGUUUUAUAGCCUCGAAUAGGAAGCUGCUGUCUGAAUCCCUGUGCGAAGGAAGUGACUCUGACAGCCCCGAGGAAACUAGUGGCUGUGUCCGCUUCUGAGUGAAGAUGAUUGCCUCUUUCUUCAUGACAUGGCACAAUUUGUGCAAAAGUUCUGGGUUCAGUCAUGAACCAAAAGAUUGUUUUUUUCAAACCACAUUUUUGGAAAUGAUGGUCAUAUUAUAAGGUUAAGAUUAAAAAAAUUGUUUUGCUCCUAUCUAUCUCAACCUCUGUUUAACUUUACUCUGCAUGCUGAGGCUUUGAACCGGAAGCCUUUUCAUUAGUAUCAUAACACUUCUGCAUGUGCGACAAAAUCAAUCAUUCAACCAAAAGAACAGGCAACUAAUCCUCGUUGUAAAUACUACAAUGCCUUACUGCACUUUAAGUAUAUCGUAAGCUCCUCUUUAUGAAUGUAACAACAACAAUUAUGCGUCAUUAUGAUGAAAAUCAAUCUUCACUAUUGCAGAUAGAACAUGUUAUAAAGUAGAUGCUGUAAAAAUAUUUUUAUAAUGAACGAUCUGUAGUUGUGAUUAUUGUUAUAAAAUGUAUUCUUAGCCAUCAUCUAUUAUGUCUUAUGUUACUGAUUUGGUUUAGAUUUGAGAGAAUGUACUUGUCGGGUUCUGAAGGAAAUUAAAAUACUAUAUUUGA